rnacentral:tRNA from 1 species
GGAGAUUUAGCUCAGUGGUAGAGCGCUUGCCUAGCAAGUGCAAAGCCUUGGGUUCGGUCCCAGCUCCG